rnacentral:rRNA from 1 species
UAGAUAUUCAAGGUAAUACAUACCCGUCGAGCGAAUGGAUUAAGUAGCUUGCUCUUAUGUAAGUUAGCGGCGGACGGGUGAGUAACACGUGGGUAACCUGCCCAUAAGACUGGGAUAACUCCGGGAAACCGGGGCUAAUACCGGAUAACAUUUUGAACCGCAUGGUUCGAAAUUGAAAGGCGGCUUCGGCUGUCAAUUAUGGAUGGACCCGCGUCGCAUUAGCUAGUUGGAGAGGUAACGGCUCACCAAGGCAACGAGGCGUAGCCGACCUGAGAGGGUGAUCGGUCACACUGGGACUGAGACCCGGCCCAGACUCCUAAAGGCAGGCAGCUUUAAGGAAUGUUCCGCAAGGGAUUCACA